rnacentral:rRNA from 1 species
UACGUAGGGAGCAAGCGUUGUCCGGAAUCAUUGGGCGUAAAGCGCGCGUAGGUGGCUCUAUAAGUCCGUUGUGAAAGUCAAAGGCUCAACCUUUGAAAGCCGAUGGAUACUGUAGAGCUAGAGUACGGAAGAGGCGAGUGGAAUUCCUGGUGUAGCGGUGAAAUGCGCAGAUAUCAGGAGGAACACCAAUUGCGAAGGCAGCUCGCUGGGACGUUACUGACGCUGAGACGCGAAAGCGUGGGGAGCAAACAGG